CAUGAUUCUAGUUUAAGUCAUGAAAAGGUUUUUUUCAGUGUGCAUAAUCUGGAAAACCUUAUCAUGGCUAAUACCAUGACCAUG
rnacentral:pre_miRNA from 1 species